GAUUUCUGACGAAACUGCUAGCUGGCCCGCCACGUCAGUGUGUGAGUGCCGGCUUGGCGUUUGUCAUCCGUUCGAACGAUAUGCGCGCUGCCCUUCACUGGGUUGGCGCUGCAUGUUUUCGAUCUUUUACUUUGAAAAAAUUAGAGUGUUUAAAGCAGGCUAUUGCUAUGAAUACAUUAGCAUGGAAUAAUAAUUUAGGACUUCGGUUCUAUUUUGUUGGUUUCUAGAACUGAAGUAAUGAUUGAUAGGGACAGUUGGGGGUGCUAGUAUUCAGCGGCCAGAGGUGAAAUUCUUGGAUUCGCUGAAGACUAACUUAUGCGAAAGCAUU
rnacentral:rRNA from 1 species